GCAGACCAAGUGGCUUAAGGGUAGAAUCCGCCAAGCUUUGAGAGAAGGCUGUGACUGCUGUGCUCUGGGCGCCAGCUCGCUCCAGGGAGUGAUGGGAAUCCUGUCAUUCUUACCUGUCCUUGCCACUGAGAGUGACUGGGCUGACUGCAAGUCCCCCCAGCCUUGGGGUCAUAUGCUUCUGUGGACAGCUGUGCUAUUCCUGGCUCCUGUUGCUGGGACACCUGCAGCUCCCCCAAAGGCUGUGCUGAAACUCGAGCCCCAGUGGAUCAACGUGCUCCAGGAGGACUCUGUGACUCUGACAUGCCGGGGGACUCACAGCCCUGAGAGCGACUCCAUUCAGUGGUUCCACAAUGGGAAUCUCAUUCCCACCCACACGCAGCCCAGCUACAGGUUCAAGGCCAACAACAAUGACAGCGGGGAGUACACGUGCCAGACUGGCCAGACCAGCCUCAGCGACCCUGUGCAUCUGACUGUGCUUUCUGAAUUGAAAAGCACAGACCACAACUGAAUCCUAGCCCUGGAAAUGACUCACUAUACAACAUGAUGAAUUCAUUUAACCCUUGAGUUUCCAUUUCUUCACCUGCUCCGUGGGGCACUAACGCCUCCCUCAGAGGCUUCUGAGUGGCUGGUGCUCCAGACCCCUCACCUGGAGUUCCAGGAGGGAGAAACCAUCGUGCUGAGGUGCCACAGCUGGAAGGACAAGCCUCUGGUCAAGGUCACAUUCUUCCAGAAUGGAAAAUCCAAGAAAUUUUCCCGUUCGGAUCCCAACUUCUCCAUCCCACAAGCAAACCACAGUCACAGUGGUGAUUACCACUGCACAGGAAACAUAGGCUACACGCUGUACUCAUCCAAGCCUGUGACCAUCACUGUCCAAGCUCCCAGCUCUUCACCGAUGGGGAUCAUUGUGGCUGUGGUCACUGGGAUUGCUGUAGCGGCCAUUGUUGCUGCUGUAGUGGCCUUGAUCUACUGCAGGAAAAAGCGGAUUUCAGCUCUCCCAGGAUACCCUGAGUGCAGGGAAAUGGGAGAGACCCUCCCUGAGAAACCAGCCAAUCCCACUAAUCCUGAUGAGGCUGACAAAGUUGGGGCUGAGAACACAAUCACCUAUUCACUUCUCAUGCACCCGGAUGCUCUGGAAGAGCCUGAUGACCAGAACCGUAUUUAGUCUCCAUUGUCUUGCAUUGGGAUUUGAGAAGAAAAUCAGAGAGGGAAGAUCUGGUAUUUCCUGGCCUAAAUUCCCCUUGGGGAGGACAGGGAGAUGCUGCAGUUCCAAAAGAGAAGGUUUCUUCCAGAGUCAUCUACCUGAGUCCUGAAGCUCCCUGUCCUGAAAGCCACAGACAAUAUGGUCCCAAAUAACCGACUGCACCUUCUGUGCUUCAGCUCUUCUUGACAUCAAGGCUCUUCCGUUCCACAUCCACACAGCCAAUCCAAUUAAUCAAACCACUGUUAUUAACAGAUAAUAGCAACUUGGGAAAUGCUUAUGUUACAGGUUACGUGAGAACAAUCAUGUAAAUCUAUAUGAUUUCAGAAAUGUUAAAAUAGACUAACCUCUACCAGCACAUUAAAAGUGAUUGUUUCUGGGUGAUAAAAUUAUUGAUGAUUUUUAUUUUCUUUAUUUUUCUAUAAAGAUCAUAUAUUACUUUUAUAAUAAAACAUUAUAAAAACAACAUUCUGUUUACCUUUUCAAGGCUGUAUUGGUUGGAGUGUAGACUGAACUGCCUGGGGUCUGUUUCUCUUCAGUGAUGAGACUCUUAGGAAGGCAGGAAUGGAUAGGAUAGGGGGAGGAGAGGAGAGAUGGGGAUUUAGAAUGUAGAGUGAGUGCCCCUUUUCUUAAAACUGAAUACAGUCACGCACCACAUAAUGAUGUUUAGUUCAACAACAGACUGCAUAUAUGAUGGUGAUCCCAUAAAAUUAUAAUACCAUAUUUCUAUUGUACCUUUUCUAUUCCUAUGUUUAGAUAUAUGAGUACUUACCAUUGUGUUACAAUUGCCUAAAGUAUUCAGUACAGUAGCAUGCUGUACAGGUUUGUAGCCUAGGGGCAAUAGGCUAUACGCUACAGCCUAGGUGUGUAGUAGGCCACACCAUUUAGGUUUGUAUAAGUACCUGCUAUGAUGUUCACACAACAAAAUUGCCUGCAUUUCUCAAAAUGUAUCCCCAUAUUUCAACAAUGCAUGACUGUACUCUUCUGCCAAUGACCUUGUAUUCUUGUUUCCAUGUCUUCUUCUCUUUCCUCCUAUGGCAAAUAAAACACUGUUUUGCAACACAA